AUUGAACGCUGGCGGCAGGCCUAACACAUGCAAGUCGAACGAGUGGCGGACGGGUGAGUAAUGUCUGGGAAACUGCCUGAUGGAGGGGGAUAACUACUGGAAACGGUAGCUAAUACCGCAUACCAUCGGAUGUGCCCGGAUGGGAUUAGCGAGUAGGCGGGGUAAAGGCUCACCGAGGCUACGAUCCCUAGCUGGUCUGAGAGGAAGACCAGCCACACUGGAACUGAGACACGGGCCAGACUCCUACGGGAGGCAGCAGUGGUGAAUAUUGCACAAUGGGCGCAAGCCGGAUGCAGCAAUGCCGCGUGUAUGAAGAAGGCCUUCGGGUUGUAAAGUACUUUCAGCGGGGAUGCGUUACCCGCAGAAGAAGCACCGGCUAACUCCGUGCCAGCCGCCGCGGUAAUUC
rnacentral:rRNA from 1 species